rnacentral:rRNA from 1 species
AACGCUGGCGGCGUGCCUAAUACAUGCAAGUCGAGCGAACAGACGAGGAGCUUGCUCCUCUGACGUUAGCGGCGGACGGGUGAGUAACACGUGGAUAACCUACCUAUAAGACUGGGAUAACUUCGGGAAACCGGAGCUAAUACCGGAUAAUAUAUUGAACCGCAUGGUUCAAUAGUGAAAGACGGUUUUGCUGUCACUUAUAGAUGGAUCCGCGCCGCAUUAGCUAGUUGGUAAGGUAACGGCUUACCAAGGCAACGAUGCGUAGCCGAGGUGAGAGGGUGAUCGGCCACACUGGGGCUGAGACACGGUCCAGACUCCUACGGGAGGCAGCAGUAGGGAAUCUUCCGCAAUGGGCGAAAGCCUGACGGAGCAACGCCGCGUGAGUGAUGAAGGUCUUCGGAUCGUAAAGCUCUGUUAUUAGGGAAGAACAAAUGUGUAAGUAACUAUGCACGUCUUGACGGUACCUAAUCAGAAAGCCACGGCUAACU